AGCCUAGUAGCUCAGUUGGUAGAGCAGCGGAUUGUUAAUCCGUUGGUCACAGGUUCGAACCCUGUCUAGGCAGCCA
rnacentral:tRNA from 1 species